rnacentral:misc_RNA from 1 species
AUAAAAUUAAAAAAUUUGUACAAUUUAUUUUAAAUUUAAUUUUUUUUUAAAAUAAUCAUGAAAAAUUAAAUUCAAUUAACAUUAUAAAUUAUAUAAAAUAAUGACAUGAUUCUAACUUUUAAUAUUAUAAAAGAAAAAAUUUUUUCUUUAACGAGUAUAGAUUCCAACAAUAGCGAUAAGAUUAGAUAAGAAAAUCACUAAAAAUUUUAAUUCAUGAAGAAAAACACUAAAAUUUUUAAUUGAUGAAGAAAAAUGACGAGGUAAUUGUGUUAGACUUUUUUAUUGUCCAGUAAUUUAAAUUUUAAAGAAUAGAAGAAUGUAUUGAUUGUGAAUUUAUUUAAAGAUGGAAAUAGCAACAUAAAUUGAUGAAAAAGAAGAAGCAAAUUAAUUUUUUAAAAAAUUAUCAUUAUAAUCUUAAAACUUUUUAAAAUUUUAGGGGCCCAAGCCUUUUUGGCCCCAACGUAGAUAGGUCCUUGACUCUAGUGCCCCAACAAAAUUUAAUAAGAGUAGU